rnacentral:rRNA from 1 species
GACGAACGCUGGCGGCGCGCCUAACACAUGCAAGUCGAACGGAGCUGAGAGGAGCUUGCUUUUCUUAGUUUAGUGGCGAACGGGUGAGUAACGCGUGAGUAACCUGCCCUGGAGUGGGGGACAACAGUUGGAAACGACUGCUAAUACCGCAUAAGCCCACGGCCCGGCAUCGGGCUGAGGGAAAAGGAUUUAUUCGCUUCAGGAUGGACCCGCGUCCAAUUAGCUAGUUGGUGAGGUAACGGCCCACCAAGGCGACGAUUGGUAGCCGGACUGAGAGGUUGAACGGCCACAUUGGGACUGAGACACGGCCCAGACUCCUACGGGAGGCAGCAGUGGGGGAUAUUGCACAAUGGGGGAAACCCUGAUGCAGCGACGCCGCGUGGAGGAAGAAGGUUUUCGGAUUGUAAACUCCUGUCGUUAGGGACGAUAAUGACGGUACCUAACAAGAAAGCACCGGCUAACUACGUGCCAGCAGCCGCCGUAA